rnacentral:lncRNA from 1 species
GUGUGUGUGAUGGAGAAAGGUGUGUGUGUGUGUGUGAUGGAGAAAGGUGUGUGUGUGUGUGUGAUAGAGAAAGGUGUGUGUGUGUGUGUGAUGGAGAAAGGUGUGUGUGUGUGAUGGAGAAAGGUGUGUGUGUGUGUGUGAUAUGGAGAAAGGUGUGUGUGUGUGAUGGAGAAAGGUGUGUGUGUGUGUGAUGGAGAGAGGUGUGUGUGUGUGAUGGAGAAAGGUGUGUGUGUGUGAUGGAGAGAGGUGUGUGUGAGAAAAAGAAGCAUUGAGAGGAAAAGAGAUGAAACAGGAAACAGGAGAGAGCGAGAGAGACGGGGA